GUUUAGCUUACCAAUAAGGCGAAUAUUGUCAUGGUGAUUCACUUUGUGAAAACAUUUUGAACACAUCGAUAAGCAGAAAAUGUCGGAUUUUCAUCCCCCAUGCGUUCGUGGAAGUGUAAAUCGAUAUUAUUCACCAAUAAAGAUGGAUAUCACUACAUAUUCUCAUAUACAAGGUCGCAUUUAGUUCAACAUUUCACGUUUCAAGCCAAACAUGACGGAAAUUGAGCAUCGUAAGUGAUUCCAGAGAGGUUAUGUUCGCGACAAACAAAAAUAAAGGCGUUUACCUGAUACAGCUUGCAAUCCGGAGACAAAUAUCACUAUUGUUAUACACAGCUUCAUUCACACUAAAGUAAGAAUAUAAAUACUAGAUAAAAAAUUGGUUUGCAUCACAUAAAUAACAAAAUAAAACGGAAAACAUUGAAAGCGGACAAGAAGCGCGACACGAAACGGCAAGCUAAGCAGCAGCUGACUAUGAGCGGCCGAGUGACGUGACUUUGUAGAGGCGCAUGACUUUCAUGAGAGUAUUCAGGGAAGAAGGAUUAUGAAAAAUUCUACGUUGAGUGAAAUGGCCCUAUCAAAACAAGAACCGUCGUCGGCCGAGCGAUGAAAAAGUGAAGCAAAACAACAAACAACGAGGCCGGCUGUCUGCGGCGUUUCGCGGCCACCUCUGCAAUUUUCACUGUCAUUAUUCAAAGUUUUGAAAAAAGUCAACGGUGGAAAUUAGAAAAAAGGGAUUUUCUCCUCAAUAUGAUCUUGCAAAUCUGCUGAAGUCGGCCGCCUUUAUGCUGAAGUAGCAAACUCUCUAAGAUAAGGGGAGGAGCGGACAAAUUGUAAUAAUUGCGAGACGAGAUAAGAAGUGACACCAGAAAACAAAUGAAGGCGGGCGGCGACGACCCAGUCGGCGAAAACCGGGAGUAGGGGAUGUAUGUGACGUCACCACGCUGCGAACUGCGAGCCUCAUUGUCUCACUCAAUAUAUUCAAAGGCACAUUUAUCUAAUCACAUGUACAUAGCACAUAGAGCGUACACUAAUACCAACGUCGUACUUCGUAUACAAGUAGUUUUGGUUGUGCAAUUUUAUGUUGCUGCUUACGAUGUACUACAGUCUAUUAUUGAAUAUUCUUUCAAGUCACGUUAUCCCGGCCGGAAGCAGGCUCCGUUUUCCUGCACAAUUGUCUACUUUAAAUGAUUUUGCGCAUUCACAGUUCUAUGAACGCAAUGUAUUGAAUUUGGAAAAGUUUAAAAAAAUGUGAAAGUUAUUGUAAUUUAAUAUUAACAACAAAAAAUUAACGUAACAAUAAACAUUUAAGUUGUAAGAAUUUUUAUUAACGAUUAAAAUUUAUUCGUUAAUUUUAUUUGAUAUAGCCACAAAAUGAUUAUUUAGUACAGCGGGUUUAAAUUUAAAGCGAGGGUCCUGGCGAAUCCCUGGGGCACACCUCGCCCGUCGUCACCGCUCGCCAAAUUAAAAUGAUAAAUCAAAAUCCGUCAGCCGGUCGCGUUGAGAAAACAUUAUAAAACGAAUGUUACUAAACUUAUACAAGUUUUGCUCUCAAAUACAUUUUAAAUUUUCCUUGUUUAUUUUAGUUAACUUCGCUGCAAUUCUAUUACAUCAUAAAAAGCUUUUAUUUUUGUACAUAAAUGUUUCUGUGUUUAACCGCAUUUUAUAACGUAACAAAAAGGUUUUAAUGGGUUUCCGACUUUGUUAAUUAAUGUUAUAAUCACAUACGUGUUUCACAUGUGGGUAUAAUGCACUUACUAUGUGAUUUAUAGUAAAUGCAAUUGUCUACUAUCAAAAAUUUCAAUUGAGAAGAUGAGUAUAAUUGGUGCGAUUUAAUUAUUUUAUUUGCCUGCCUGGCAAGAAAUAUAAUGCUGAAAUUAUACUGUAAGAAUUGUAACGCAUAAAAAUGAAAAUCUCAUUUGCGUACGCAGUCGCUUGUUUGAAAAUUAAAGUCGACAAAAAUAUGGACUAUUAAAAUUGUACUGAAGCAGAUACUCUGUGAUAUUUGCUGUUGCAUAAUAUAAAGAAAUAAUGCAAAUGAAAAAAACAACUAUUUAUGUAAGAGCGAGCUCCCUCACAUAUCUUGGUGAAAAAAAUCAAAGCAGUAAAAGUAAUAAAUCUUAUUAAUUUAAAAAUAUUUUAUAAUAUCUUGGAAAUAUUAGGCAAAUGAGAUCUGAAAUACUUCAGCCUAAACAUCAACAGAACACUUUGUAAGUAAUAUAAGUAAUUAAGAUGCGACCGACAUAUAUUCACUUCAAAAGUCAGUUUAUAAAUUAAUGUAGCAGCAACAUAAAUGGAGACACAAAUGAAUGGAUAGAGUGACGUCUGGUCAUCCGCGUAAUUUACUCGUGUAUCCAGCAAGGCAUGUAACCGGCAACUAUCGACGUGUUUGCAAUGAACCACUCAUUAUAAUAUGUACUGAAUUUAAAUAUUUGUGUGAUACAAAUGCGGCAGCGGAACAUGCUAGAACUAAUUGUGCGGUAAAUCGGGAUGAACGGCAAUUUGUCAACUUUCAGCGCGAUAAAUAAACGGUUUCUAUUCAAUGCAAAAUAAACGCAACUCGGUAGCAUCA